rnacentral:rRNA from 1 species
GGGAUUAGUGGCGAACGGGUGAGUAACACGUGGGCAAUCUGCCCUGCACUCUGGGACAAGCCCUGGAAACGGGGUCUAAUACCGGAUACAACCACUUCGGGCAUCCGAUGGUGGUGGAAAGCUCCGGCGGUGCAGGAUGAGCCCGCGGCCUAUCAGCUUGUUGGUGAGGUAACGGCUCACCAAGGCGACGACGGGUAGCCGGCCUGAGAGGGCGACCGGCCACACUGGGACUGAGACACGGCCCAGACUCCUACGGGAGGCAGCAGUGGGGAAUAUUGCACAAUGGGCGCAAGCCUGAUGCAGCGACGCCGCGUGAGGGAUGACGGCCUUCGGGUUGUAAACCUCUUUCAGCAGGGAAGAAGCGCAAGUGACGGUACCUGCAGAAGAAGCGCCGGCUAACUACGUGCCAGCAGCCGCGGUAAUACGUAGGGCGCGAGCGUUGUCCGGAAUUAUUGGGCGUAAAGAGCUCGUAGGCGGCUUGUCGCGUCGGUUGUGAAAGCCCGGGGCUUAACCCCGGGUCUGCAGUCGAUACGGGCAGGCUAGAGUUCGGUAGGGGAGAUCGGAAUUCCUGGUGUAGCGGUGAAAUGCGCAGAUAUCAGGAGGAACACCGGUGGCGAAGGCGGAUCUCUGGGCCGAUACU